UGGUGAGGAUUCCGGCUCCUUGAUUACUGAGCCAGUGCAGGGACAUCACACAUACACAUUGCAUUCCUUUAUAAAGGAAAAGAAGUCACACCAGAAAAGUAUGUACUUGUAUUGUCAUCUGAUAAAGAAGAAUUGUGUAUAUUUUUUGUAAUGUGGAUUGUGUUCUCCUUUCUCUCUAAAGAAACAAAACUAACUUACAAGUCAAAGUAAGCAGUACAGGAAGGUUCAGAAAGUCUGUACUGUAAUAAUCUUUGUGUCUAAUGAGCUUUAUAUUGUGAUCGUUAGAAGAAACAUUUUUAGUUGAUUUUAUUGUGUAUAUUUUAUUCAGUAGUUUGAAUUGUAAUGUGGGAUAUCAUGGCUGAAUUCUCUACAGAUGAGAUUCUGGAUUAAACUGGAAGCAAAACCCUGGUACUAUACAGUGUGUGCUUAAUAAAAUAAAUUGUAACUUUUAACACGCAAUCAUUAAUGAGGCUGCAUGCAGUUUUUGCUUGUCUCUUAUUUUUGACACAACACAUCUUCUGGCCAACAGAAUCAGUAUGGCUUUCACACGUGGCUCAGAUUCUGAUGUUUAUACUUCCUAAUUAUUUAUUUUUUCAGUUCAUUUUUUUCAUAGAACACAAUAACUGUGACAGAAGAUUGCAUUCCUGAACUAAACUAUACUAAAAAUACUAAGGAUUUAACAUUGCGCAUUUAUAGAGUGCAUCUCUUAGCCGCCUGCUUUGUGAAUCUGGAGAUAUGUUCAUACCAGUGAUAUUUUGUAAAUUAAACACUCUGCAUAAAAUGAGUUUGCUGAAAUCAUAAAAAGUUAAGUGUUGGUGUAGCCAGAUGAAAAAAUACUAAGAAAUAUUUUGGACACGUAAGUGAGAAAAAUAAUAGUGUUACUAAUAUAAGGUACCAUACAGAGUGGGAUUACAGUACUUAUAAGCAGAAGGCCACAUAGUGUAUCAUAACAAAAUUCAUGAUGCUAGUUUCUGUGAAUAGGUCAUUUUGCAGCACAGUCAGUAAAAGAAACUACCAUGCAGGAGUAUGAAUGAUCACAAGGCACACAAGAAGUAGAGUAUGAAACUUUUCUAAUUAAUAAAGCAUUUUUAAGGAUGUUUAUUUGGUUGUGUUAAAAGUAUAUUACAUAAAUCUUAUUUACUGUAUGACAACAAGUUCUAGUAUUUGGUUAUUAUUAGUUAUGAUCAGAGGUCUGAUGUGUACAUUUGAGUUAUUUAUAACAGUGGUAGCUGCCUCCACUACAUUUGCUGUUGCUGCUGUGUCCCUCAUUGCUUGCCAUACAUUUCUUGCUGCCAUUUACUAAUUUUGUACGUGCUUAGACUUUCAUUCAGCCCAACAUAUCCAUAAAUCACUCAGUUCAGACACACUUCUUAAAUUGUUAACACUGAGUAGGGUAGAUUGGCUAAACACAUUCUCUCCACCAACUCAAAUUCGAUCCAAGAAUCAUGACCACAGCAUCCUCAGUCUGACCCAAGGUCAGGGCUGCUGAUCUUCUCAGAAAGCAAAGCCACUAACGAUAGCAAGUUUUGGUGAUACAUGUUGGGACCAUCUGUUUAGUAAGGAGGCUUUUUCUGUCUCCUUUUGCCCAACUUUUAUUUUUUAACUGUUUUCAGAGACACGCGAGUCCUGAUAUCCUGCAGCUUAUACCUGCUAUUUUCUGCUUCUUUGAGUAACACUGAAUACUCUUUUUCAGACUAGUGUGAUUAAUCAAAAUGGUAUCAAAUCUGAGUCCUUGCAUUGUGUAAGAGAUAUCAGAUGGUUGUCUGAUGUUACACUGGUACCUAUGUACAAUAUUAGAUUGCAAAGUUGCAUGGUUUAUCUGCAAAGAGGUAUUGGAUUUAUGCUGCCUUGUUUGUUUCUAUACCUUAUCACUGUAAAGUUGUUCAUUAUUACUUGCACAGCUCAUCAUACACUGUAUACACACACAUUUACUCGCUGACAUUGUUAUGGCUUCUCUGAAGGCUUUGCUUACUGUUACUAUGGGAAAAGAAUAACAGCAGAUAGUCAUUAGGUGUUAUAUGCCAGAGAGACAAAGUUACCAAUGGCCUUCCUAAAUCAUAUAAUCAUGUGUCUUCUUCAUUACUACAUAAUAUGGUCACUUGUGCUAUGUAGUCUGCCCAGCAGCACAGUCUGUCCCUUGAUUGGCAAGCUAUUCCAUUUACAAGCGAGUAUCUGAGCAAACUAAUUACCACCUUGUAUUCAAAAUAGUUUAUGACUGAGACAAAAAGAAUGAUUAAUAAUCAAAACAGAAUGGUUCCCCACUUUUCCGAGUCAGAUUGUAAGCUGAAAGCUGAGUCACAGUUAGUUGAAGUACAGUACUUACAUCUUGGGAAUAUUGCUAUGAAAUAUUUGUAUUUGUAUGCUGUUUGUUUCAUAACAGUUGCACUUGUUCAUUCUGCCUAAAGUAAGUCUAGUUUCUGUCCAUGUGCUUCUUCCCCUUCCCCCCUCCCCAUGCCUGCAUUGCUUUCCUCUGAUUAGGUCCAAGGCGAUGAACACGGCUCUAGAUAAAGAGAGGCAAAUCUUCAGUGGCAAACGUGGACAGGAUACCAGCAAAGCUGACACAGAGCAGACCUCUCAAACCAAGAUGGCAGCAGACAAUGCUACUGCCCCUGGGUCUGUGUCCCAUUCCCCCACUGCUUGUGAAACCCCCAUGGGUCCCACCCCUGCUGUCACAGCAUGCCAUGACAGAGUCAGGCCCAGUAUGCUGCAGGGAACAGACAAAGCCAGCCUACCUGAACCACACUGCUAGAAGCACCCAACUCAGCAUUUAAAUCAAGUCUUUUAUUUUUCCUCUGUUUGGUUUGUUAGUUUUCUUUAGAGAAGCAUUUCACUGGUGACCUCCAACAGUGUGCUUGUACAGCAUAUGAUACUAUUAAACAAGAUAUGAGUGAUGGGUUAGGAAGUGGGAGAUCCCUGUAGGACAGGGGAAGAUCUGUGUAUUGUACAAGGACUGAUGUGAUUUUGGCUCUUGAGUCACUCUCCUGCCCUUCAGCUACCUUUUGUGUGCAAAGGGGGGUUAUUUGUUCAGGCAGAAUCCUUAACAUUUUUGAAAGGCAUUCCCAUCUUCCCAUAAUUUACUUAACAGUUGACACUGCAGAGAAAAUUGUGUCAUUCUCCUACUGAAGUGCAUUAUACUUGGCUAGAAAGUGACUUUUUUGUUACAAAAGUUGUAGAAAAAUUGUACAACACUAAUCCGUAACUACAGAAAAUUAAUUUUAAUAAUGUUUUUAUGUAAAUGGACUGCUUACGAUGGUGCCAUCAACUGCGGACUUGUGUGAACCUUCCUAGUAAGUUUCUGCAAGCAAAGCAAUGUUUAUUUAAUUACUACUGUGUGAAGACAAGAACAGAAUGAACGAUCUUCGUCAUUGGGGUAAUUUAUAAAACAAGGGGGUUAUUUAUUUGUACAAAUAUUAAAAUGCAGUGAAGCAUCCUUUUUCUUUAUCCCUAGUUGUCAACACUUGUAAAACCUUCUGCUGCUACUUCUUGCCUAUCUCAGAGGACAACAGUGCAUUUUGUGACAUCACUGGAUAGGAUGCAAGUUUUGUGACAUCACUGGAUAGAAUGCAAUCUCAUUGCAUGCUGCCCUUGCUGGUCACUUGGCAAAUCCUUCAAGCAGAGCAUGUCGGCUAUCAGAAGACAAAUAAUAUAGUCAAAGCCCGUCAGCAUUACAGGGCAGAAGUAGAAGAGGCAGAUAGCUCUUUCAUUUGGUCCCUGCUUCGGGACCUUGUAAAGGUAUUGGAAAAGCAUACCUUAAGCAUGGAAUCCACAGCUGAAAUGGGUUGUUUUUAUUGAGAUUUUUAAGCUCUUAUUUAGAUGCUGUAUGUGUUUUGUCUUUUUCUUAUAUUUUUAUUUCCUUCUCUAAACAGUCAAUGUCAGUUCAGUUCCAGCUUUGGUUUUCUACUAGAACUACAGGAAAUGUGAAAGUCAUGCAAUAAAUUUUGGUUUUAACUCA